rnacentral:lncRNA from 1 species
UGAUAGUUGACAGAUAAGCAACAUCUGCUUUUAAUACAUGUCCGCAUCAGCCUUUCCCCAUUGUUGAGGGUUCACCAAUUAAAAUACUAUUGGAACCACAUUGUAUCCCUAGAGCUGUAUAUACUCCUUCACCAGUGGCCAUUCACUGGAAAGAUAAAGUGGAAGAAGAUGGACGAAAGGAUGGGUAUUAUAGAACGCGUACCAAUGGGAGAAUCAAGUAAAUGGUGCCACAGAAUGGUAGUAACUAAGAAAAAUGAUGGAAAUCCUAGACGCACAGUUGAUUUUUCUCCACUCAAUAAGUAUUGUAAGAGAUAAACCUAUCCCAUGAUGAAGUCUUCUUUACACAUGGCAAGAUCUGCAAAGACAUAAAAAGAAUUCACUGACGUAUGAAAUGGCUUCCACAGUAUUUCAAUUCGAGAUCAAGAUCGCCCCAUGACAAUGUUUAUAAUACUUAUGGAAAGAUUCCGAUAUAAGAGAGCACCUCAGGGUUUUUUUGUCGAGUGGGAUGGAUAUAAUCGACGUCUUGAUGAUAUCAUGGCUGAAUUUAAUAGAAGAGUUCGUUGUGGUGAUGAUACGCAACUGGAGGAUCAUUGGUGGAGUACAAUUGAUUUUCUGGAGCACAUGGGGAAAUCAGGUGUCCUACUAAACAACAAAGAAAUUCCUAUUUUGUAAUGAGAUAGUUGAAUUUGCAGGGUUAGAAUAUCUGACAACCGAGUAGAAUCCUUACCCAGAUUUAUUUAAUCGAUUCGUUCAUUUACAACUCCAAAGUCGAUUACGGAUAUUCGUUCAUGGUUCGGAUUAGUUAACCAGGUGGCCCAUUAUGGACGCAUGAAAGAUAUAAUGGAAAUAUUUCAAGCCUUAAUUAUUCUUAAAAGAGUAUUUUGAUUGAGUAAUACUCUUAAUGACACUUUUUUGAGUUCAAAAGAGCUCAUCCUCAAGAAAAUAGAACAUGGAGUGGGGAUUUUUGACCCAAAAAGCUACAUGUCUAAGAACAGACUGGUCCAAUGGAGGACUAGGAUACUAUCCGAGUCAAAAACAUUGACAGUGUCAGUCUCGAAUAGUAAAAUGUUGCUUUGAUGAAUGGAAGAUUACACUUGUGGAAUCAAGAUUUCUAUCUGAUACUGAAAAACGAUAUGCACCGGUAAAGGGAUAAAUGUUGGGAGAAGCAUGGGCUUUGGAACGAACAAAGUAUUUUACUCAAGGAUGUGACAAAUUAGUGGUUGUAACGAACCAUAAGCCGCUCGUUAAGCUAUUAGGGGAUCAAACUCUGGAUGAAAUUCCAAAUAUGCGCUUUUUUAGACUUAAACAGCGAACGUUAAUGUGGAAGUUCGAUAUUUUUCGUAUGCCUGGUAUUACAAAUUAUGUUGCUGACGCAAUGUCAAGAAGUCCAAUGGAAAACAAAGGGGAUGUGACUGCUGAUGAAGAGGAAGAGUUGUUGAUGGCGUUGAUAAGGUAUGGACCUGAGCUGGGAAGAAUCACCUUGAGAACAAUUGCAGAUGUAACGAUACAGAACACCAUUUCUCAGAUUCUUCUGAAUAUGAUGGAGAAUGGAUUUCUGAAAGACGAUCUGCCUAAGAAGAUAGAUGAAUACAAACCUAUUUGGAAGUCUUUGUAUCAAAUGCGUGGUGUGAUUAUGUACCAGGACAAAGUGAUCGAACCAGACAACUUUGGAAGGAAGUGUUGAAGACAUUGCACGCGGCUCAUCAGGGCACCUCAGCAAUGAUAUCUCAUACGUCAUCAUGUUUGUUUUGGCCAGGAAUUACGAACGUCAUUAGCCGUACGAGGGAGUUAUGUACACCAUUCAAAGCCAUUGUUGCCAACUUUUGUGACAUGGGAGGUUACAGGAACCUUGUAAUCGCAGAUAGAUUGUCAGAAUGGAAAGAGGUGACCGGUUUAUCUAAUUCUAAAGGAGUAAAGGGAUUGUUGGCAAGCUUGAGAAGUUUCUUCGUAACGUUUAAAGUUCUGGAAGAAAUCUCAAGCAACAAUGGGCCGGAAUUUGCAUCUUAUGAAACGGCGGAAUUUUUAAGAAAAUGGGGGAUCACCCACCACACGUCUUCUGCUUAUUUUCCGCAGUCUAAUGGAAGAGCAGAGGUAGCAAUUAAAAAAAAAAAUCAAGAGAAUGCUGCAAUACAACAUUGGUCAGAAUGGAACAUUGAACAGUGAUGAAUUUGUUGAGACUAUCUUAUGUGUGAGAAAUACACCAGAUCCUGAAAUAGGAAUUUCUGAAGCCAGAAUAAUUUUUGGUACACAUAUGAAAGACUGUUUGCCUCGGUUGGACAAAAAAGAACAAAAAAAAAAAUUGUUUGGUCCAAAAAUUCGGUCUAGAUUGGUCUAAAGGAAAAAUUCGGUCUAGUUCGGUCCCAAAAAAAUUUGGUGGUCUGGACCGAUUUACAGAUAAAUUAUUCAUAACAUGACAUCAUAUGUAUUUUCAAGUACCAAGACGUCAUACGAAGUUUAAACAGAGACAGAUUUUAAUCCUGUCGUCUCUUGUUGAAUAUGGAAUUUGGAAUUCGAGCAUCUCUUGAAAUAGAUGAUCAAGUUAGAAGUGUCUUCCUUCGAUUCCCUCAAUCUUUCUUUGGUCCUAACUCUUGGAGAACAGAAAAGUCAACUUCUUCCGGUCUUAAUGAAUUAAUAAUGAUUUUAGGCCUUCCGGCUUAGUAAUUGUCAAACUAAAAGUACAUCCAAAUUUCCAAUUGGUAUUUAUUUUAUUCGUAUGGUUAUAAUUUCAGAUUGAAGUAGUACAUAAUUAAUUAAUGAAUCUUUAUUAUAUAUUUCAAACCCAGAGCAUUUUAUCUUAAUCUGAAUGUGAAUGGAUCCCUUUAUAGUUUCAAACAUUGAAUAUAUUCUAUAUGGAUGGAUAUAUUCCUAGUUCCUGCUUAAGGAAGGAGUCUACUUUACUCUCUUAUGAGGCUUAGCAUGGUUUAUUUUUCGUCUUCGAAUAAAUUUUCAUACCUGUAGAUAUCGGAAAUCGAGGAUUUCUUGCUGAGGCUAAAGUAUCUUGGAUCUCUUCUUUUGUCCUAACUCUUAAAGAACAUAGAAUUUUUUCCGUCUUGAAUUAAUGAAGAUCAAUCUAAGCAAAUAGAAAGUACAUUAAAAUUUAAAAUUUGUGUUCAAUUACUCAAAUGUUUUUGUGUGUUAUUUUUAAUAUGUUUGAAUUUUAUGAUAAUAGCUAUAUCACCAUAUGAUAGAUAAAUUCCACCUAAUACCACAAAAAGUUAUUGCUUUAAGGAUUUAUAUAAUUUGUAUAAAAUAUCAAAUAUGUUGAACCCGAUUCAGACAUGCCAAAAAAAUAAAAUUCUUAAAUAUACUAUUAAUUAAUCAAUAAGGAUGAAAGUUACAAUUAUUUAUUAGUAUAAAAUAGAUAUGUUGAAUUUGUCAAUGUCAAAUCAUACCUCUUCCAGAUACUCAAUUAUAAUAUAAUAAAAUAAGAAACUGGAUGUGGCAUAUGAUAAGGUAAAAUAUUUCAUGUUAUUAUCAAAACAUGAAUAUGCCAGAUAAGCUAUAAUAAUAUAAUUUAAAUAUAUUAAAAAUAUAUCAAUGAAUAUAUUCACGGGUUGAAACUUUAAAGGGAUUAAUUCACUUUCAGAUAGAAGGCUCUGGAUGUGAAAUAUAAAAUAAAUAUAUGUUGAUUAGGUACGUCUACAAUAUGAAAUUAUAACUAUACAACUAAAAUAUAUCAAAAAUUGAAAUUUAGAUAUCCUUUUAAUUUGACAAUUGCUAAGGCCUAUGAUCAAUCUUAAUUUAUUAAGAUCGGAAGAAGUGGACUUCAAUGUUCUCCAAGAGUUAGGAUAAAGGGAAGAUCUAGGGAAUCGAUGGAAGCUACUUAUAAAUUGAUCAUCCAUCUUAUGAUAUGUUCGAAUUCAAUAUUCAAGUCAUUGGUAUAAAUUUUAUGUUCCCCAGCGUAAUUAAUUCAUACUUGGAAAUAUCAUUCAUAACUUUUAUACCUCCUUAAAAAAAUAGAAAUGACAUUUUUAGCAUAAAAA